ensembl:lncRNA
GGGAAAAGUUAAAAGCCUUGGGGUUACUGUCUCUUAAAAGACCAUUUGGGAGUUAAAGAAAGUGGUGGUUGAAAAGCUGACAUCUUUAAGACUGCACUAUAAUCUAGUAGCAGAUAGAUGUCGACUCUUCCUAGAGGUGAUGCACUUACCUUUCUUUGUUUCUUCAUGGUGAACGCCGCGUUUAAAACGUCUGAUAACCAAUCGUUUUGUGCGUGGGAGAAUGGCUCUUCAGCCUUGUCAUUCAGUGCCACCCAGUGGUCAUCUAUGCCAAUUGCUCGAGUCUGUGAUCCACAGGAUGCCAAAUUUCAACUCACCAGGCAAGGCGAUGCCUGUUUUCUAAAUGUGAAUCUCGCUUCUUGUAGGUAAGCAAGUGGAUGUCUUGCAAAAUGUUGGAAGAUGAGUACUGAGCACCAGCA